rnacentral:tRNA from 1 species
CCCGCACCGGCGAAGAUGGAGAGUCGCACCUGACUGUAAAUCAGGCACUUCGGUUGAGUAGGUUCAAAUCCUAUGUGCGGGA